rnacentral:rRNA from 1 species
CCUACGGGAGGCAGCAGUGAGGAAUAUUGGUCAAUGGGCGCACAGCCUGAACCAGCCAUGCCGCGUGCAGGAUGACGGUCCUAUGGAUUGUAAACUGCUUUUGUACAGGAAGAAACCCUCCUACGUGUAGGAGCUUGACGGUACUGUAAGAAUAAGGAUCGGCUAACUCCGUGCCAGCAGCCGCGGUAAUACGGAGGAUCCAAGCGUUAUCCGGAAUCAUUGGGUUUAAAGGGUCCGUAGGCGGUUUGAUAAGUCAGUGGUGAAAUCCCAUCGCUCAACGAUGGAACGGCCAUUGAUACUGUCAGACUUGAAUUAUUUGGAAGUAACUAGAAUAUGUAGUGUAGCGGUGAAAUGCUUAGAGAUUACAUGGAAUACCAAUUGCGAAGGCAGGUUACUACUUAAUAUAUUGACGCUGAUGGACGAAAGCGUGGGUAGCGAACAGGAUUAGAUACCCUGGUAG